UAACUCCAUCCCUAGAGCAUCCCUAGAACAAGUGGCAAAGAAUUUGGUGGUUAGUACCCGAUGCCCAAGUUCGAAUCCUAGUUGAUUCAUAUUUCCAGCUAAGUUUAUUUCUAAAUGAAAUAAACGAAGCGGAUAGCGUGUUAUCUAUUUCUCAAAAAAACAAAAAAACUCCAACAAAAAGUUGCACUCCAACUUAUAAAUUUUAACAG
rnacentral:lncRNA from 1 species